AUAGCAGCUGUCAACAGCCUGGUGGACCCAUACCCUGCAAACCGGCCAGAGAGGGAGCUGGGCCCCAGAGCCCGAGAGCUACUGCACUGCCUGACACCUGAAUUAUCCUCUCAGGACUGUCUCGGUUCCACUUCUCCCUUCAUAAGUGGAUCCGUACACUGUUUCCCGGGUCAACUAUGAGAGAGAUCCAUUCAUCUCUGUGUCCCCACAACACCAGACACAAGGCCUGGAGCACAGUGUCUGGUUCCAGAUGAGAAGAGAAAAACUCACCUCCCGGGAUUUCUAGAGGGGUGAAAAAGUUAUGACUGGUGAUCCCCCGAAGAACCACUAAGCCUUUGGAAAAAAUGAAAAUGUGAGUCAGAACACACCCUUUCUGGUGAAAGCCUCAUCUGCCAGAAGCAAGCCUCUCCCUGUCAGCCACUCACCAUCUCCAAGACAGCUCAGGGCUCAGAACCAUCCGGACAACUGAUGAACCCCAUCUUCAAGCAAAGGUGUGGAAGCAGUGUGGAUAAUGGAGGAUAACGGCAAAAAUACAACCAUUUUGACUGCUCUUUGUCUUUGAGUCUCCUGAAGUUUCCAAGUCAUUGUGAUGAAAAUUAUUAAAGGUCUGCCCAAGAACGGA